UGCAUAUGAUGUUUUUCUCACGAUGGUCUUCCAAGCUUCAGGUGUAAGAGGCCUUGACGAAAUCUGCCUUUAGGCACUGCUGAUGCGGCUUG